CAAUUUAACAAAGUCUACAGUGGUGACAGAGUAGAGACAUAAAUUUUCCUUUUCUUCCUCCCUCCUCGCUAGUCGUUGAAAUGGCAAUCCAAACUCUGAAUCUCUAAUUUUAUCUCAACUGCUCGACGUCGCCGGAAUCCACCGCCAUGGAAUCGAGCAUACUGGAGACGAUCGGCGUGGAGAUUAUCGGCGUCAUGUCUCCGGUUUCAAUCUGUAUGCUUCUCGUCGUUUUAUUGGUCUAUUCCCUCUCCUCCGCCGACCCUCUCGCCUCCGCUCCGAUUCGCACCGCCGCGAAUCUUGUCUACCUCGAGAGCCCUUCUGAUUCCGCUGGUCAGAAGCUCGAAGGUGCUCUUCUCAAUGCCUUGGUCUUCGUUAUUCUCAUCGCCCUUGUUACUUUCCUUCUCUUUGUUCUUUAUUACUACAACUUUACCAAUUUCUUGAAGAAUUACAUGCGAUUUUCUGCGUUUUUCGUCCUUGGUUCCAUGGGAGGCUCCAUCUUCUUGUCUAUUAUCCAGCAUUUUUCUAUACCGGUUGAUUCCAUUACUUGCUUGAUUUUAUUGUUCAACUUUACGGUGGUGGGUGUGCUGGCGGUGUUCUCAGGAGGAAUCCCUAUCAUCAUGAGGCAGUCGUAUAUGGUGUUUUUGGGGAUAAUUGUCGCUGCUUGGUUCACGAAGCUACCUGAGUGGACUACUUGGAGUUUGCUUGUAGCCUUGGCUCUUUAUGAUUUGGUGGCUGUUCUAGCUCCUGGUGGACCUCUUAAGCUGUUGGUAGAGUUGGCCUCGAGCAGGGACGAAGAGCUUCCAGCUCUCGUUUACGAGGCUCGGCCUACAGUGUCAAGGGGUCCUGAGAAUCGAGGGGGAUUGGGACUUUUGGUUGCUGGGGUCUCAGAUUCUGGAUCAAUAGAGCUUCAGGCACAUUCAGAUAACAAUUUCAACCGUAAUGGGGAUGAAAACCUUCAUAAUUCUGAUCGCCCUGCUGCUGGCAAUCAGAAUUUUCGGAGGGAAGAGGUUGAAAGAAAUGGAGAUGAAGGGGAAAGGUCGCCAUUAGUAAGUUACAGUCGAGAAAGACACUCAUCAGAUAGUGGAUCAUCUGGUUAUUCAACCGGAGUUCUUACUCCAGAAAUGCGACGACACUUGGGCAACAGAGAAACUGAAAUCCAUAUAGAUGGGGAAUUGUCUCCUCUGGUUCAACUGCCAAGUUCGCAAACCCAGAUAGAAGUGGAAAGGGUUGCCCAAACUGAGGUUACAAGUAGAGGUAUUAGGCUUGGUCUUGGGGACUUUGUGUUCUACAGUGUCCUCGUUGGUAGAGCUGCAAUGUAUGAUCUUAUGACAGUUUAUGCUUGUUAUCUCGCUAUCAUCUCUGGACUUGGAUGCACUCUCAUUUUGUUAUCAGUUUGUCAUCGAGCUCUGCCUGCACUUCCCAUAUCUAUCACUUUGGGUGUCAUGUUUUACUUCUUGACUCGUUUUCUUGGAGACUGGUCUAUGUAUAGACUACGGAAUGUGCAAAACUUUGUUUUCUUCCUUGAUCAUGGAUUGUAGUAGAAACCGAACACGAAUGAGGAUGUCCUUAUCUUGUUCUUUCAAAAAACUAUCAACUCAUUCCACCUAGGGAUACUCCUAUAUCCUUGUAUGGAUGGAUGGAAGAAGAUAUUUGCAACGUGGGCUUAUGUUCAGGAUUCUUCUACUUCUCAGAAAUUCUCUGUAUCAGGUUUGUUUAACCUUAGCUGCGUCUUGUAAACUUAAACGUCCAACUCUUCUAGGUCACUAUAGAUUAUUGGAGCAAGUAAAUCAGGGCAAUAUAAUUGUAGUUUACUGGUGAAGUUAAGUACUAAUAGUUGAUUAGUUUAGGGUUAAAAGUAUACUUCACGUCCAUAUAUUUUACAUUUUUUUCUUAUGGAAGCAUUAUUACUUGAUACGUUUUCUUAUGGAUAGCUAUCUAAGUUGAUGAAUAUGAUCUAUGACUUGAUUUAUGCAUUAUCACAUGAUAUGUUUUCUGUUUAAUGUCUUCCGUGAUUAUAGGAUAGAAGUUCUAUCUUUUCUCAUUCGAUGCCUGAUGGAUGUAUACUUGGACGUGGCAACAUCUAAAGGUUUAGGGGGUAAUUAGUUAUCGAUAAAAACAAAUAGUUGAGUUGGUAAUAAUUAUAGAGAAGUUAUUGAGGGAGUUGACACGAAUAACAAUGUGAGAAAUGUGAGAAAUUUGAGUUGAUAUGAAUAACGAGAUAGUAAACCUCUUUAAUUAUUGGUGAACCAAAGUGAAGGUUUUUUUUAUCCAGUCAACCAAACUCUCCCAAAUACUCAAGUUGUCAAACACCCAUUAAUGUAUAAAAGGCAAGUUCACAGGACAUUGAUCCUACCAUAAGGCUCUUCCUUCUUUUAAUCUGUCCUUGGAUGUUGAAUUCCAGUUGCUUUUGGUCUCUAAGCUAAUCUAACAAUUUAGAUCUUCUAGUUGGUCAUGAUAUAGAUCACCUUUUAAUUCUCUAACAAUUUAGUAUAUGUUGAUCUUAAUAACAGAGAUUAUGGUUUAGUCUAUGGUCUCUCAAUUUAAGAUUUAAUAAUUUAAAAGUUUCUUUACCAUUCCGCAUGUUGCAGGAUCUAGUGGUUUGUCCCAUGAGUUAAGAAGCACGGAUAUGGAUACAAGACACGGAUACGAUACAGGCUCAAGAACACCAUAUUUUGAAAAUCUAGGACACGCAGGACAAGAAAACGUUUAUUAAUAUAUAUAUAUAUAUAUAUAUAUUUUCUUUAGAUAGGAAACGAACUUCAUUUACAUAUGAAAUUUACAAAAUGGGGCCGAAGCCCAAUCCAAUGGAGUUACAUAAUUGGAGUCAAAAGGGAAGGAGUGCGAGUGCAUUUACACCGGGACAUAACAUGAAAGAUAUUAAGAUCAAAAUGGCUACCAAAAGAGCUUUCCUUAUCAGUGAAAAGAAGCUUGUUUCUCUCCUUGCAUGUAAUCCAUAAGAAAGCACAAAUCAGAUGCAUCCACAUACUUUCUUCUGCUUGAUAAAUGGGUGGUCGUUGAGAGCAUACGUGAGGAAGUCUUGUUAUAUCAUUUGGAAGGGUAGUGUGCCAACCAAAGGUAAGGGAGAGUUCCCGAGAUGGUUAGGUGUAUCAACCAGAUUUACACAUAUAACAAUGAGGAGAAAUGGCCAUGUAGGGAGAGCGGAUUUGCAAUCUAUCACUAGUAUUGAUGGCCUUGUGAUUAACUUCUCAGAGGAAGAAUUUGAUAUUUUCAGGGUAGUUGUCCUUCCAUAUAACAUCGUAGAUUUUUUAAAAUAUAUAUUAUUGUUAUAGUAAAAGAAACUUCAUAGUAAAUGAGUUGAUGCAUUUAUAUGCUUUAGAAAAUUUGGCUUCAUGUAUCUUAUGAUUAAAAGUUAUUUUUAUUGUCA